rnacentral:snRNA from 1 species
UACGCUUCUCGCCUUUGCUCAGAUCAAGUUAAGUAUCUUUCUUAUCAGUUUAAUAUCUGAUACGUCCCCAUCGGGGGAGCUACAUUUAAUGAUUUUCGAACAGGAGUCGGAAAAUGCUUGCCUCCGUCCGCUCCACGCAUCGAGCCCGGAUGCAUACCUC